UAUAAUCGUAAGACACUUGAUAAUAUUUCAAACAUAAAACGUUGAUUUAUUUUAUUUUUUACAUUUAAGUUUCGAACGUUGAUCCUGGAACACACUCUGAUUGUUUUUUUUAAUUUACAAAAAAAAUGAGGUUAUAUAUAUUUUUUUCUGUCCUAACAGCGGCCAUUGUAGUUGUAGAAUGUACGCACACUUUUAUGGGCACGAAUGUGUACCGGCAACUAGUGUAUCGUAAGGACGCGCGGUACAGCUCGAAGUUUUUAAGAAAACGCGUUGAAAACAUUACCUAUACCAUUCCACCUGCAUAUGGAUUCAGGCGCACUAUUCAGGGUAUCCUCGCCUAUGACCUCACUAAUUCUAGCGCGUCAGCCAACGUGACUGCGGGCGGGAUUGGCUACUCUUACGUCACGCUGCGUAUGAGCAACGACCGCGGACGUGAAAUUCACUACGACGUCAAUAUUUAUGCUUAAUUUGUUAAAUAACCGUGAAAAUAAAUUAGUACAGCAAUUAAAA